rnacentral:ncRNA from 2 species
UACACUCGCCGCACUUUUGGUGCUCGCGCCGGCAUUCUUCGCGGACGCAGUCAAACGGGAAACAGGGCGCGAAUCCGGCAAGGACGAGCCAACCUGUGCUGCCCUCGCAACGGUAAGCGACCGCAACGCAAGUUGCAAGUCGUUCCAGGCGCGUUUUUACAAGCGGCUUCAUUCAUCGAACGCUCUGCAAGAAACGUGACCACGCCACUGCGCACUUUGCGCGGGAAGGCGGAACGAUGCGUCGCCAGCCCGGAUACCGGCCAAUCGUCCAGCGCGUUU